rnacentral:piRNA from 1 species
UAACUCUGCAAACUAGGCUAAGAUGCACAG